AGGUAUGUGCAAGCACACUUUUUUUUCCAUUGGCCAACACUGGAACAUGAUCAUAAUAUCCAGUGACAUUCAAUGCCCUUCUGUUUUUUCCAGCUUUACAUAUUACAUUUCUGAAGCAUAAGAUGAAUGGGAUGCUGCGCAGCUGAAAGAUCACACGUCUCAAAUGGCUCACUUGGCGUUCUCAUACUGAACUGACUGGCUGAGUUGCAGCUUUCUGACAAGGGGAAUGGUUGUUUUUCUCUCAGAACACUUGCUGAUGCAGUGUUUUAUUUGGGAAGUGUUUGUUCCUUCUGCCUCAUACAAAGCACCCAGCAAUACUCUGAGACCAACACCACCUGUGCUUCCCAAGUGAAGUAAAGAAAACGCAAAGUGCUGUGUUACACAGGCUAGAAGAUUUCUUAGGGGCUACCCUCAAAGACUGAAAGAUUCAUCCUGCAAAAAGAACUACAUGGAAACAGGGACACUGAUGGAAACUGAUGGACCCAAUGCCAAAAGAAGAAAAACUGGCUGCAGGAGGACACCCAGAAAACUAAUAGACCUGCCAGCCUCAAACAACACCCUCUUUCUUCGCAUUAGAAAUGGAAACACGUCCUCUGCAGGAAUUUUCCACUUAAUAGCUCCUGCUUUCCUACCGGGGGCCUCAGUGCACCACCACUGCAAUGCUGUAUUUCUUUCCACUGCAGUUUGACAUUUUGCAGCCAGAACAACGAACGGCAUUCACUCCAUCCCGAUUUUUGAAAAACAUAUCUCUAUAGACACACAGAACACACCCAGUGCAGCAAUCACCAGGGGGAAAUGGCAAAGGUACUUAAACAUCAUUACAUGUCACUAAGAAUAUGACAUUGUCUAGUAAAAAUGAUCUUUUAUACAGUUGCUUUUCCUUGCUCCCCCGUUCCUCCCCCCUCCAAGCCUUUAUACACACACACACACAGACAGACACCAAAGCCUCUGCCCUGCUCUCCCAUUAGCAGGUAGUCUCAUGUUCUACACUUGAUUGUAAUUGUUUGCCUUUGUGAAUUAUUUCCUUUGCAUAAUAUUUGCAAACCCUGUAUCAGGUCUUGACACCGUGAGGAGCAGAAAUGCAGAUUGCAGAUAAUCUGAGCAGUAAACAAGGAGCCUGCUUUAAAAUGUGCAGGGUGACCUGUCUGAAAGCAGCAGUAUUUGCAAACUGUUUACUGCUGAGAUGCAACGAUGUCGUCUGAAAUGCAACAGCCUGAAGAUUGGAGCAAAAUGGGAUCUCAGACACUCGGUCAAGCACUGCCUAUGAUUUUUAUAAUUGUUGUUUGGGCCAUGCUGUUUUUAAAUUUAGAGCUGUAUUACAAAUUAUUAAAAGCUAAUUUCCAAAAA